UACGUAGGGUGCAAGCGUUGUCCGGAUUUAUUGGGCGUAAAGAGCUCGUAGGCGGUUUGUCGCGUCGACUGUGAAAGCCCGGGGCUCAACUCCGGGUCUGCAGUCGAUACGGGCAGACUAGAGUUCGGUAGGGGAGACUGGAAUUCCUGGUGUAGCGGUGAAAUGCGCAGAUAUCAGGAGGAACACCGGUGGCGAAGGCGGGUCUCUGGGACGGUACUGACGCUGAGACGCGAAAGCGUGGGGAGCGAACAGG
rnacentral:rRNA from 1 species